rnacentral:misc_RNA from 1 species
GUGGGUCUCUCCCUCCCCACCUCUGGGUAAGACCCACUCUCCGGGUGAGGAUGUAAAUAGUAUUUAACUUGCAGAUUGGAGAGAAUAGGAGAGGGAUUUCUUAUGGAUCUGCUGAGUUUUCGCUCGAUUGAGUUGGCUGCCUAGCUUGUGUCUAACGCGUUUCUGCAGGCUUCAGGCUUUCGAUGGACACAACAAAAGGAGACUUUGCUGCGCUGAAAGGGAGACAAUACUCCUGAAGGUUGAAAGUGUCAACCGAGUGAGAGUCGUCACCCUCCAACUAAAGAGAUUAAGGGGCCAAACAGGGCUCUGCCUCCUCCCUGCUUUCCUUUCUGUUGUGUCUUCCUUGAUAGUGCAUGAUUUUUUGGACUUCAUGGGCUAUGAUGCUCUGAGUUGCUGGUUUUUUUUUUUCCUAGCUAUGACUCAAUGCUGGAUGUUGUUUUGGUGAUGUUUGUUCCUCUACUUGGCCUUAGUUAUCUUGGUAUGGCCAUUCGUUUGAAGGAUCUCCAUGGCUCAGAUGCUUGGGUGCAGUGGCGCUGAUAGAUGGUUGCUCUGGUUCCUCUAUUCCGGUUUCGCUAUAGGGCUGGUGCCCCAGGCUAGAGUUCUCCUAGAUAUAUGCUCUUUGGGGUGGGCUUGAGCCUUUGAUACGCAUGGGCUUGGAUCAUUUUUGUUGUAGCUAGGUCUUUUGUCCAUGGCUAUAUACUCUUCGGUCUUUUAAGGCCUUCUAGUGGAAAUUCUAUCCUUCGAUUAAAAAAAAAAAG